rnacentral:rRNA from 1 species
AGAGUUUGAUCAUGGCUCAGAUUGAACGCUGGCGGCAUGCCUAACACAUGCAAGUCGAACGGCAGCACGGUGCGUAGCAAUACGUAUGGGUGGCGAGUGGCGGACGGGUGAGUAACGCGUAGGAAUCUGCCUUGUAGAGGGGGGAUAACCCGAGGAAACUCGGGCUAAUACCGCAUGAAUUCGGGAGAAUAAAGCUGGGGAGACCUGGCGCUAUAAGAGGAGCCUGCGUCCGAUUAGCUAGUUGGUUAGGUAAAGGCUGACCAAGGCGAUGAUCGGUAGCUGGUCUGAGAGGAUGAUCAGCCACACUGGGACUGAGACACGGCCCAGACUCCUACGGGAGGCAGCAGUGGGGAAUAUUGGACAAUGGGGGCAACCCUGAUCCAGCAAUGCCGCGUGUGUGAAGAAGGCCUUCGGGUUGUAAAGCACUUUAGUUGGGGAAGAAGUUAAUUUGUUUAAGAGAUGAAUUAGUUGACGGUACCCAAAGAAUAAGCACCGGCUAACUCUGUGCCAGCAGCCGCGGUAAUACAGAGGGUGCGAGCGUUAAUCGGAAUUACUGGGCGUAAAGGGCGCGUAGGCGGUUGAUUAAGUAGGAUGUGAAAUUCCCGGGCUUAACCUGGGGGACUGCAUCUUAGACUGAUGAACUGGAGUGCAGUAGAGGGGUAGUGGAAUUUCCGGUGUAGCGGUGAAAUGCGUAGAUAUCGGAAGGAACACCGGUGGCGAAGGCGGCUACCUGGACUGACACUGACGCUGAGACGCGAAAGCGUGGGGAGCAAACAGGAUUAGAUACCCUAGUAGUCC